rnacentral:rRNA from 1 species
AUUGAACGCUGGCGGCAUGCUUUACACAUGCCAGUCGAACGGUAACAGGCCUUCGGGUGCUGACGAGUGGCGAACGGGUGAGUAAUGCAUCGGAGCGUGCCCAGAGGUGGGGGAUAACGCAGCGAAAGCUGUGCUAAUACCGCAUGUGAUCUGAGGAUGAAAGCGGGGGACCAAGCAGCAAUGUUUGGCCUCGCGCCUCUGGAGCGGCCGAUGUCAGAUUAGGUAGUUGGUGGGGUAAAGGCCUACCAAGCCGACGAUCUGUAGCUGGUCUGAGAGGACGACCAGCCACACUGGGACUGAGACACGGCCCAGACUCCUACGGGAGGCAGCAGUGGGGAAUUUUGGACAAUGGGCGCAAGCCUGAUCCAGCAAUGCCGCGUGCGGGAAGAAGGCCUUCGGGUUGUAAACCGCUUUUGUACGGAACGAAAAGGCUCUGGCUAAUACCUGGGGCUGAUGACGGUACCGUAAGAAUAAGCACCGGCUAACUACGUG